UCAAAAAGCCAUAAGAAAGCAGCAGUGAAGAGUUGUUUGACCUCUCUUCAGUCAUUGACAUAAAUGUCAUGUACUGUUGUUUGCUCACACAGGUACCUCUGCAUGCAUCAGCUUCUAUCCCUCAGUAUGAGGAGACUGCUUGCAAAACUGCAUCGAAGUUGUGAGGAGAGUGGAGAUUAAAGACUUGUAACAAUUGGAAUAUCCACCAGCCUAAUCAACAAGUUUAAUAAGUAAAAGCUGCUGCCCCACAUCUCCAACCAUCAGAGAAGGCAAAAUCGUAACAACAGAAGAAUGGUCUUGAGACUCCCAAGGUUCAUGAGAUUCAGUCUGUACUUGAGUGAAGCUUACCAAUGGACUGGAAAAAUUGCUCUGGACUGGUUUGGGUCCACAUGCUUCUCUGUUUAGAGUACAUGGCUACACCACGACCAGCCGUCGUGCUGCUGAUGCUACUGUGUGGUUCUUAGCGCUGCAGCCUUGAGUGAUGCCAGCAAGACCUGACAUCAGUCUUUUAUUGUAUUGAAGUCUGAUCAUGGUC